CCUACNGGUGGCACCAGUGGGGAAUAUUGCACAAUGGGCGCAAGCCAGAUGCAGCCAUGCCGCGUGUAUGAAGAAGGCCUUCGGGUUGUAAAGUACUUUCAGCGGGGANGAAGGUGUUGUNNUUAAUAACCGCAGCAAUUGACGUUACCCGCAGAAGAAGCACCGGCUAACUCCGUGCCAGCAGCCGCGGUAAUACGGAGGGUGCAAGCGUUAAUCGGAAUUACUGGGCGUAAAGCGCACGCAGGCGGUCUGUCAAGUCGGAUGUGAAAUCCCCGGGCUCAACCUGGGAACUGCAUUCGAAACUGGCAGGCUAGAGUCUUGUAGAGGGGGGUAGAAUUCCAGGUGUAGCGGUGAAAUGCGUAGAGAUCUGGAGGAAUACCGGUGGCGAAGGCGGCCCCCUGGACAAAGACUGACGCUCAGGUGCGAAAGCGUGGGGAGCAGACAGGAUUAGAUACCCGUGUAGUC
rnacentral:rRNA from 1 species